GAUGAAGAACGCAGCGAAAUGCGACAAGUAAUGUGAAUUGCAGAAUUCAGUGAAUCAUCGAAUCUUUGAACGCACAUUGCGCCCGCCAGUAUUCUGGCGGGCAUGCCUGUUCGAGCGUCAUUUCAACCAUCAAGCCCCCGGCUUGUGUUGGGGACCUGCGGCUGCCGCAGGCCCUGAAAACCAGUGGCGGGCUCGCUAGUCACUCCGAGCGUAGUAAUACAUCUCGCUCAGGGCGUGCUGCGGGUUCCGGCCGUUAAAAAGCCUUAUUUACCCAAGGUUGACCUCGGAUCAGGUAGGAAGACCCGCUGAACUUAAGCAUAUCAAUAAGCGGAGGA
rnacentral:misc_RNA from 1 species